rnacentral:rRNA from 1 species
AGCAUAUCAAUAAGCGGAGGAAAAGAAACCAACAGGGAUUGCCCUAGUAACGGCGAGUGAAGCGGCAACAGCUCAAAUUUGAAAUCUGGCUCUCGGGCCCGAGUUGUAAUUUGUAGAGGAUACUUUUGAUGCGGUGCCUUCCGAGUUCCCUGGAACGGGACGCCAUAGAGGGUGAGAGCCCCGUCUGGUUGGAUGCCAAAUCUCUGUAAAGUUCCUUCGACGAGUCGAGUAGUUUGGGAAUGCUGCUCUAAAUGGGAGGUAUAUGUCUUCUAAAGCUAAAUACCGGCCAGAGACCGAUAGCGCACAAGUAGAGUGAUCGAAAGAUGAAAAGCACUUUGAAAAGAGAGUUAAAAAGUACGUGAAAUUGUUGAAAGGGAAGCGUUUAUGACCAGACUUGGGCUUGGUUAAUCAUCUGGGGUUCUCCCCAGUGCACUUUUCCAGUCCAGGCCAGCAUCAGUUUUCCCCGGGGGAUAAAGACUUCGGGAAUGUGGCUCUCUUCGGGGAGUGUUAUAGCCCGUUGUGUAAUACCCUGGGGGGGACUGAGGUUCGCGCAUCUGCAAGGAUGCUGGCGUAAUGGUCAUCAACGACCCGUCUUGAAACACGGACCAAGGAGUCGUCUUCGUAUGCGAGUGUUCGGGUGUCAAACCCCUACGCGUAAUGAAAGUGAACGCAGGUGAGAGCUUCGGCGCAUCAUCGACCGAUCCUGAUGUUCUCGGAUGGAUUUGAGUAAGAGCAUACGGGGCCGGACCCGAAAGAAGGUGAACUAUGCCUGUAUAGGGUGAAGCCAGAGGAAACUCUGGUGGAGGCUCGCAGCGGUUCUGACGUGCAAAUCGAUCGUCAAAUAUGGGCAUGGGGGCGAAAGACUAAUCGAACCUUCUAGUAGCUGGUUUCCGCCAA